GCGGGUGUAGCUCAAUGGUAGAGCAGCAGCUUCCCAAGCUGAGAACGCGGGUUCGAUUCCCGUCUCCCGCUCCA
rnacentral:tRNA from 1 species